CGAGCUCGAGCUCUAAACGAGCCGAGCCGAGCAGCUCGUUAAUUCUUCUCUUCUCAUCUCUUUACCUUCUUUCCCUCUCUCUCUCUCUCUCUCUGUUCACUAUCUAAUAUCUAUCCUUCUUUCUUUCUUUCUUUCACACCAGAAGAAGAAGAAAGAGAUGAACUUGAAUGAUGAUGAAAUAAAGUUGAUUAAAGGUUAGCUUAAACAUGAAUAAUAACAAAAAUAAUAAUUAUUACUAAUGAUUCUAAGAAAUCUGAAUCAGUUUAUUGGAUUUUUUUUUAUUGUUAAUAAGAUUUCGAUUCGAUUUGUGUGUUUCAGAGAAUUCGAAUCGUUUCAAAUAAUCGAUCAUUGCACUAUCUAUAAUGAUGAUGAUGAUGAUGAUGAGUAAUCAUUUCAUUGAUUCAUUCAUUCAUUGAUUGAUUGAGAAGAGCUGAGUAAAGUUGAUUUGAUCUAAUUGUGAAGAAUUUGAUGAGUUUUCAGGUCUGAUUGAAGAUUGAUUUUUAUAUUCUGAUUGAAUUGAUGAGUUUCUAGAUAUAUAAAUUAUUGAUUUUAUUGAAAUUUUUGCAGAUCUAAUAAGAACAUUACUCAGAUCAAAAGAGAAGAUGGAUUUGGAUGAUUUUAGAUCAAUUUUAAGGAAUUCAGGUGUAACGUGUCUCCAAACGAGCCAAACGAGCCAGCGAGCCAAACGAGCCGAAACGAGCCAAACGAGCCAGCGAGCCGAAACGAGCCGAGCUCGAGUUU
rnacentral:lncRNA from 1 species